UCUUUCAGUUUAUUGCUACUGUAUUUAGUAUAUCUGCUCAUUACCCCAUACAUCUAUUUCGUUUACUAUUGUUCCUAUUGUACUUCCACUGACCCGUGUUGUUGUAUAGCUCUUCCUGAUCCGGUUAGUACUCCUCGCCUUUUUCGGCUUGCGGUACCCACUGGGAGGGGAGACAUGUUUACAUGUUCUCACCUCCCCCACCAUUUUUCAGGUAUCGCGGGCGAUGAAUAGUGGGACGAGACGUGAGGUACGUGUGUAGCGGUCGAUAGAGCUUCCGAUCCAGGUUAUUUCGAUAUAGUUAUUACCCUUAUUAUUUCAGUUGUUAUAGCUUAGAUAGUUAUAUGGUUCAGUAUUUUUAUUACAUUUGAAAAUAUGGAUUUUCGUGAAUGUAAUAAAUGGAUUUCUGGAUUUUGUAAAAUAAAAGGUUUUCUACCCCUCGUGGUAGCGUUUUUAAAGAAUAAAGGUUUCCGUGUAGGAAACAGUUUUCAAAAGAUUUUCUGUGGAUUUUGCAUCUUAGUAUUUCAAAACCUGUUUCUGUGGUUGGAAACAUUUUAACUGAUAGAUGUGGACUCAUGUUUAAAUAUCGAAUAUAUAAAUGUGAACCUGUGAUGUGAAUGGUGUAUGAAUAUAUAAUUGUUGGUUAUUUGUAUGUUCAUUUGGUUGUGGUUGUACCUGGGUUACUUCUUGUACUUGUGUGACGCCGUGCAAAUACAGGGGAGACUCUGUCCGUGUGAACAGUGGAUUUCCUGUGUUUGUGGCGGAUCUGGCAUACUCUGGGGUCAGGCUUGAAAGUUUUGAGGAGCCCAAGGAUCUAUCUAGAUUGUAUCUAUCACCUAGAGGGGGGGGUGAAUAGGUGAAAGGCCAAAAAACCACAAAUCUCGAUGCAAUAAAAAUAAAUGCGGAAAAUAAAAAGCACACCGAGAUUUACGUGGGAAAACUCCAACUUGGAGAAAAACCCACGGGACCAACACGCGAAAAAACAAUUCACUAAGAGAAAAGAUUACAAGGUGAUUACCGACUCCACAGACUCUACCUCUCUUAACCUCCUAUGAAUCUUCGCGCUACCCUCCGGGUUGUCCACGCCCUCACGUCCGAAUCCACGAACGCCUCCACUUCGAAUCCAC
rnacentral:lncRNA from 1 species